rnacentral:lncRNA from 1 species
CACACUGGCCGGCCCAGCCAGAGAUUAUAUAAUAGGUCCAGCUAUGCGUGCUUACUAUCAGUAAGGCAUUGCCCUUUCUGAUAGUUCUGACGUUCAGUUGGAAAUCUCUGUUGGGAUCAGAAGAAAUCUCAACUGGGAAGAGAAGGGGACGCUAUGAUGGAAGACGUUGGACAGAAUCCACUGGAUGAUGUGUAGCAGACGAUAUAAUUACCAGCAUUAGAAGCUGUAAAACAGAACCUUGACUGCCUGAAUUCAGACCUUGAAAAGGACCUGCAGAAACUGGAUAUGGAGAAUCAGGUUCUCCUUAGAAAGAUUAAAGAGAAAGAAGAAACUAUUUCAAGGAGAAAAGUAACGCAAUCCUAAGCAGGAAUGUGGUGGAGGUUCAGAAAAAGAUUUCAGGGUUAUUUACAAAUAUUGGCCUUGAAGAAGAAACCACAAAGCAGAUCCUGGAGGAAAUGAAGGCAAGACUACAGAAGUCAACAGAGUCCUGUGCAAAGCAAGAGGAGGAACUGGCCAAGGCAGAGGCAAUGUCUCUUCCACUGAGGGUCUGCCCGGGAUAGAAUGGGAGAGAAUCCCAAGGGUCUUAGAAACAGAUCUGCUUGAGGCAUAGGAGGGGGAGGUACAAAAACAUCUUGCAAAUGAAUUUCUGAUUCUUAUGCAUUCUUAUGCAGCUGAAGGGAAAGAAAACUUCUAUUAAAAAUACUGCUUUUACCAUUUCUUACAUCUCUGUGUCAAAUACCAUUGUUGAAUUCCAAACCAAAGUGCCUUGACACGUCCCCUGGUAUUUCACAUGAGAGGCAGAUGACAACUUGGGCAAAAUAUUUCCUUUGCUUAAAACCAGACCCUGUGCCUAAUGAUGAGAUCACCUCUUUGUGAUGUGACUGUUUUUCCUUCAAGUCAGGAGUUGCUAGGUAACCAGCCAAGUGCCAGUGCACCAGAAAUACCAGGAAGUUCUGAGGAAGAUGAAAGAGGAAAAGGAGACGCUGCUUCUUGAAAAACAAAUCUUUUCACACAGUUUGGAAAUUUGAAUGUCCUCUUUUGUGACAUGUCUUUCGCCUGCAUCUGUGAGAUGAUCCAAAGCCCAGGAUGACUCCUCUCAAACAGUGAAACCGGGAUCAAUUUUGGCAGACACCACCCAAAGAAACAUGGAGAGGACCACCAUUAAGAAACAGGAGAGAAGGUGUUGGUACAAUCUUUAUUAGGUUGCUGGCUUAUGUGAUUUUCCACCUGCAGUACAUAAACCCAGAUCUUCUCGUGGAUGUCCUGCCCCUGGUGCUGAGCAGGGGCACCUUGGAGAGUCUGAGGAAGGUCUCACAUCCCUUCCUCACUCUAGCAGUGGAAGAAGCACUACCACACUAGUCUGGGGUGACCUGGGGGCAUCACCCCACACCUGAGUGGAGGUGACCGUGGCUGUGGCCCCAUGUUGGGGAUGGCCAGGAAGGAUGUGGAAGCCUUUGACUCAGAGCCGCUACUUGACAUCUGAGUUUUUCAUUUCAUUCUUUCCCUGCUUUCCCUCUGGAAUGUCUCUCUUUCAAAUAAAGAAUAUGUUUGACGAGA